CAUCUCGUCUCCGUCAUUCUCUCGCCUUAGGGUUCCUCACGCCUCGCUUUCCCUCCGCCACCGAUUCUCCCCGUGAGUCCAUCCUUCCUCUCAAGUUCCCCAUGCAAGUAUGAAGAUGGCAGCGGCACGGGCGGUCCUCCAAGCGAUAAGUGCGCCUGGGUACGAGGGGUUCGCUGUGGAGGCGGUGCAGGGUUCGCUUCUUGAUCGAGCAGAUUCCCGCUGGAGUGAGGCUCCCAACGAUGGGAGCGCUGCCGCCCCCGAUCUGAAGUGUCGACCUCCCCGAGAUCCCGCUGGUGGUUGCUUGGCGGACCCCUUCUCGAUCUGCUGUUGCCGCCCGUCCCACACGUUGACCGUCGUCCGUGCGCUGCCAUCCAGCAGAUCCCCUCGCGCCGCCCCAUCGUCCGUCUGGUUCUGUAUCUGCGGAGAUCUAAAAAAGCGCAGUCUGAUACUUGAGAGGUAAACAAAGCGCUCUACUCUCAAUUAGAUAUAUGUAAAUAUUGUCCAGCUAAGCUUUUGACUCAGAAGGACUACUAUUCUGGAAAGCACGUGAUGGUUCCUAUCGGUAGAUUGAUUCAUUGUCUGCAAUCUGGAAAGCACGUGAUUUGUUUUAGCACCGAAUAUUACAGGUUUGAUUCGAACAUGAUAUAUCACUUGUCCACAGUAGAUAUAUCACAUGAUAUAUUACAGGCAUAUUCAGUGAUUAGUGUUAUUGCAACCACUUUUGGCAUUUGAAGGAUUAGGUUUUGAUGCUUGAGUUCUACAGUCUACAGGCCACUGCUUACUCGCUUGUCAUGCCUGUGCAAUGACAUAGGUUUUGGAAUAAUUAAUCUUGUAAUAUCAAAGAGUGCUUUGCUAUUUAAUUUUAAUGUAAGUUAUUCAGUAGACUUGGCAUGCCUAGCUCAAUCUUAUUUGCACAUCUUGCAGACAAAAUCUUAUUUACAAAUCAAUAUGCAAGUAUGUAAGAAGCAAAACAUAUGUUGUUCCCGUAGUUGCGUGAGGUCAUCUUGUGGUAUCGUCGAAUGAUCAAAUCGAGUCUAUCCCUAAUUAUUUUAAAGGAUAAACUGAAGCCUUUGUAAAUUUUGGACCGUUGCAAAAUUUUGGACUACAUGAGUAGUCAGAUAUUAUCUUUUAGUAGGUUACUUCAUUGAGCUUAUUUUGUCAGAGAUCAUCUUUUAAGGUCUCAAUGGACUCCCUCCUUAGCCGAGAUUUUGAUAGAAGGACGGCUAGGAGUUGGGGAGAAGGGCGUUCAAGGGAGGAGGAUAUGCGUGUCGCUGACUCCGAUCAAUGGUAAGUUUUCUUCCUUUUCAUUUGAUUUAGUGAUGUGUGCAAUUUGUGCUUGUUAAGUUUUCUACCUUUUCAUUUUAAUUGCUGAGCUGGGGGCAUGUGUUGUUAGAUCAACACAAAUUCGCAGCACCAAGAUAAGAUGGUUCCAUUUGUCUGAGUUUUCAUUGAUCCCAACCAUGAACAAAUUCAACCAUGCUUCCAGUAAAGGCUACAAUGUGUAUCACAAUCUUAGUGGCCUUCCAUACAGGGUGAUCAGUUUCUUAUUAGACGUGUUUACCUGUAUUUAUAUCGCUUUCCUGCAUGAUAGGUGAUGAUUGUGUCUGUAGCCUUUGAGGGGCCUGAAUCUAAAUAUUCAGAGAUUGUCAUUUAUAAUAUAUCUUUGACCAGACAUCCCAUUGACGGUAUUCAGACAUCACAAGGUUUAUUAUACAUCACCUUGCUGUGCCAAUGCUAUUAUUAGCUUGCAUGUCUAUCAGGUUCCUUUCAGUUUAAUCUUUUUGUUACCAUGAAAUACGUGGCAGCACAAUUUACCAGUAUCUUGAACUAUCAUAUGUACUGAAGUGCACUUCUUACUUGUAUUGUGCAAACAAUGAAACUUUAGAGUUUGUGGGUAGCACCCAAGAGACCCAAAAGUAGAGUGUAACUCUUAAGGCCACAUGACUGGUUUGAUCCUGACCUAAAAGUAUUGUCCAAUCCCAAUAUGUUCUCUUAUGUGUGACUUGUAGAAAUGAAUGUUUAGUUGUACAGACCAUCUUUCUUUUUUUUCUCAAUAAAUGAUAAACCUAAUGAAUAUGUUUGAGGCUUUAUUUAAAAAGCAUUCAUCCAAAACAAAUUUGUGCCCUGUGUUACAACAUUGCAGAGCUCUAUCUUUCAUGUUUAUUUUUCAAAGAUAUAUAUUUUUUCAGCUUAAUCCAUAUACAUUAAAAUUAUGUAUUUUGUGCGACAUGGAUGAAGUAUAAUUCACUUUUUGACACAAAAUUUGAGUUUGAAUAUGGUGCAAAAUUUCCUGGAGACCUCUAUCUAGCAAAAUCUGGUUAAGUCUUGGAUACAUGUAGAGAGAAGGAAGAUAUGAGUAAUCAGCUGUAGAUAGCAGUAACAUCUAUUUUUAAAGAUUGCCCACAUGGAGCUUACUUUCCGGUCCAGGGUUCAUCAAGUAGCGCUUCUGAGCUAUCCACUGUGGAUGCAUAUUCAAGCUAAAAUAUCAUAUGUUUACAACAGAAAUUUUGUACCAUGGUAAAGUUUCUAUCAGUUUUAUUGGUCUGAAGAAUAUAUGUAAAACAGAAAGUUUUCUGUACUUACUGUUCCUUUCCAAGUUUUUUCCAGAAAGUUUCUGUCAGUUUUGUUAGUCUGAAUAAUACGUGUAAACGGAAAGUUUGCUGCUACUUGUUGUUCAUGCUGGGAAGGUUGACCUCUAACUAAACCUUUGUAUACCCUUACCAAGUGAAGUUAUCCCUUACCAAGUGAAGUUGUCGUUUCAUCAUAAUUUUCCUAUGUGAGUUUGCUGAUAGAUAUAAUAUGGGAAAACUGGCAUGAAUUUUUGCACGUCACUCCUUUGAAAGUUAAACUUGGUUGUUUGCUUCUAACAUGCACCUUGAUUGUUGUGAUUACCGUGGUUAUCUGCCGGAAAAGCAUGUCCGGUGCUAACAUGAAUAUUUGAAGCUUGCGAGUGGAUGCUCUUAAUUAUAUAACUUGAUUGUUGUGAUUACUUUGGUUAUCUGCUCGAAUAGCACGUUCCUACUAUAAGUUCGAACAUGAAUAUUUGAAGCUUGUGAGUGGAUGCUCUUGACUAUAUAAACCCAUGUACUUUAUCUUUGUGGCAAAAAAUGUACUAUAUUGAUUGGGCCUCUUAGUCAUUCAGGAGAUGAUGUCCUUAUUACUGAGUGCAGAUAACCACAUUGAGAAUCAUACAUACGCCCCUUUGUUUGCAAAUAUUCUUUUGGACCGGCUUAAUGCUCUCGUUAUUGUUAUCCUUUAGAAGAAACUGUUUACCAGCUUAAUGCUCUCGUUAUUCUUAUCCACAGGAGGAAUCGGUUUACCUGUCGAUUCUUGGAUUGGUCGCCCUGAUUUUGUUGUUAUCAAAGUAAAAGCUGUCAAUACCUAUAUGUUAUUUCUCUUGAUGUUGUAACACCGAAGUAUGAUCUUUGGCAGUGUUGGAUCUCCUAAGUGAGUUGGAAGCUACAUAAAGAUCUAAUAGAUGAAAUGGUUAACUGAGAAAGUAAGCUGAAAGAAAGUAGUCUGCCCGCUAAAACAAGCUCAUCAUGGCUUGUUUCUUCCAAGAGCUCUUUCCUCUGAUCCAAAGGAUCAAAAAAGGUAUUUACCUGAUUAUUUAGUGGAAAGAUUAGUCGGGCAAUGACAUGAGAGAUGGGUCACGCUGAAGAGAAUGAGGUGAAGGAAAAUGUGAAGCGCUAAUUAUUCUGCUAAUGCAUAGAUAAUUGUCUUGGUUGACAUGGAACUUUUGUCAAUAUUUUUUCUGCUUUAGAUCGAUAUGGGGGUUAUCAUGGUACAUGUAACUAAGCAAGCAAUUAAUAUAUUCCAGUUUGUUGAGGUGCAACACUAGCUACUGAUGAUUAAAAAUUAAUGUGUUGGUGUGACAAAAUAAGAAAAUUAAGGUAGAAUUUUAUUGUAUUGAAAUAUUGUAUUGCUAUCUUUUUGAAACAUGUGAGUUUUAUGUACUCUCUCUGACUGUAAAAAAGCGGCUUAACUUUGUCAUAUGGGUAUAUAUUUAGACAUAUUUUAGUUAUAGAUACAUAUGUAUCUAGAAAAGGUUGAGCAAUUUUUUAAAAUAGGGAGUAUAUAAUGUCUACAUGUAUGAUAAGAAAAUUACUUGG